rnacentral:lncRNA from 1 species
UUAGACCGGAUGGGGGGAGAGGCCUUACAGCAUCCUAAUGUGCCCCCACAGCCAUGUCAGGAACAGGAGGAGGACCUCGUCCUGACAUGAGCAAAGUCAAAGGCCCGGUUCUUUUAGGCCGGAUGGGGGGAGAGGCCCUGCAACGCCCAUAUACGCCCCCCAGGAGGAAAACCUUGCCCUAGCUUAAGCAACUUCAACCGGUGGUAAACCC